AUGAACGCUGGCAGCGUGCCUAAUACAUGCAAGUCGAGCGAACGGACGAGAAGCUUGCUUUUCUGAUGUUAGCGGCGGACGGGUGAGUAACACGUGGAUAACCUACCUAUAAGACUGGGAUAACUUCGGGAAACCGGAGCUAAUACCGGAUAAUAUUUUGAACCGCAUGGUUCAAAAGUGAAAGACGGUCUUGCUGUCACUUAUAGAUGGAUCCGCGCUGCAUUAGCUAGUUGGUAAGGUAACGGCUUACCAAGGCAACGAUGCAUAGCCGACCUGAGAGGGUGAUCGGCCACACUGGAACUGAGACACGGUCCAGACUCCUACGGGAGGCAGCAGUAGGGAAUCUUCCGCAAUGGGCGAAAGCCUGACGGAGCAACGCCGCGUGAGUGAUGAAGGUCUUCGGAUCGUAAAACUCUGUUAUUAGGGAAGAACAUAUGUGUAAGUAACUGUGCACAUCUUGACGGUACCUAAUCAGAAAGCCACGGCUAACUACGUG
rnacentral:rRNA from 1 species